rnacentral:pre_miRNA from 1 species
AAUGUUAUCAAUUCGCUGUGGUCUCGAACGUACCUACAUUGGAUAUUUUUGGUAUUCGAGACUUCACGAGUUAAUUCCCAUU